rnacentral:lncRNA from 10 species
GGAAAAUGGCAAGAGGGAAAUGUAACAUGGAAAAGAAAAGAAGCCAAGAUUCCUAAAAUUAAAAUUUAAGAAAAGGCAUACAAGAAAGCAAGAGAUAAAUUUUCGAAAUUACUUAGGAAUUGUAUGUCUUAACUCAUUCAAUAAACAUUAUUAAAAUCUACCUCUCUGCUGAGACCUGUUUGGUAAUAAAUUCUGCUAGGUAACAAAGAUAUACAGAACUCAAUACAGCAAACAUGCAUUAUCUGGGCAAAGAGAUAUUUAAUGCAAGCAAGUAAAUUAAAAUGUCAUUCGAUAUUAAGCUAAUCUAAAAUAGCACAGAGAAUGAGUUCCCGAUCAUCCUUUAAGACCCAGCUCAAAUGCUUUCUUUAUGAAUCCCUCCUUUUUCUGUGCACAUCUUUUUUGUGCAAUAAUCACAUAUUGCUUGCAUUAUAAGUGUUUUAUAUCAUAUUACAUUACUGGUCAACAAACUAUGAGCUGUGAGCAGAGAUUAUAUUCUCUGCUAAGAUGAUAUUCUCUAACUAAGACAGAUUGAUUUAGGAUGGCAUCAGAGAUUUAUUAGGUGGCUGCUCCCCUAUCAUUUUCUGCUUGUGCCACUUUUGUUCCCCGGCAAUCACCCUACCUUUUAUUUUCAUGCUUUAAGGUCUUCUAGGACUGACAGAGAAAGCAGUAAGAUAACCAGGGGAACUACAAUAGCCACCAAAGCAAGCCCUGGGCAAAUUGGCAUGGCUCAAAUCCCUUGCAUUUUCUUUUUUCUACCAUUAAAUAUGCCUCUCUGCUCUCUCCAAACCUGAACCUACUUGGGCCUGUUCAAAUUAUUCUGUCCCAUGUGGCAGACCUUGCUUAUCUACAAACUAAAGUGUCUUUGGGUCCCAUUUUCUCAAGAAUCUGUUUUAUAAAAGUUCCAAUCUUUAAACCAAAAAUUAUAGUGCCUAUUUCAAUAGGGAAGAAUAAAUUACCCUUAUGAGCUAUCACACAUUCAUUUUUAAGGGAGCUUUUUAUAAAAGCUUUCUAUCCAUAAAGCAAACUCUACAUAUAUGAAUCAAAACCACUGAACAGGGAGCAUUCUUUGCUGGCAAAUAGGUGAGAGGAUUAAUUUACUUAUGAUAUAAUAAUAACAUAUGAAAUAAUAAUAUAUCAUUACUUAACAAUAAUAAAACGUACCACCUUUGGCUACACACAAUCAGACACUCUAGGCACCUUAUUUACAUUACUUCAUUCUAUUCACACAAUAAUCUUUGUGAGAAUAGGGUAUGUGGAUGUUCUUGUCUCUAUGAUACAUAUGUAUAUAUUAUGACAAAGAGAAGGUAAAUACUUUUUCCAGGAUUACUCAGCUGGUACAAGAAAGAUCAAGAUUUGAUCUUGGAUCCACCAGACCCCGAAAUAAAAUCUCUUUUUCAAAAAUUUCCCUAAAAAUGUUGCUGUGGCAGAUUCUGUUGGUCAUAUAUUAAAAAUAGUUCUUUUUGUCUACAUUUCCUAGCUUCCUUUGCAGUAAGGUGUGAACAUGUGCCUGAGUACUAGGCCAAUGAAAUAGUAAAAGAAGUCAUUUGUUCCACUUCUAGGCCAGAUGCAAAAAUGCCUCCCAUUUCCCCUCUGCCAGUUGGAGACUGUUAAGUAAGGCAACCUUGAAAGUCAAAUGCUAAAUAUGGCAAAAUUUCUAUUAGUCUGAGUUGUUGAAUGACUAUGUGGUAUAGAAUCCACUUGCAUACCCUUUACCUCUAAUGCCACUGGAUCUGCCUUAAACUAGUGAAUGAUUAAAAUAUUAUUUUCUAUUGUGCUUGAGUCCUUAUACAUUUUUAAAUUCUAUUUGUUACAGCAUCUAGCCCACCCUAACUAAAAUGGUCUCAUGUACAAAUGUAGUCUGAAAGGACUUCCCUGAGGAAAUAAACUCUAGGCUAAAUUAUACUCAUGACUAUGUUUUCCAAAGUUUGGAUAAUUUAAAAUAAUAAAAGAAAUUCAUUUAAUAUUUUAAAUGUGGCAUCAAAAAUAUUAAAUUUACAAUGAGAAAAUUAUUUUGAGUUAAUAUUAUAAUGGUACUGUCGCUAAUAUAAUGUUAAUCUAUUGCCUAGGAAUUAUUAACCAUUUUGUCAACAUGAAAAUUCAAGUAAAUAAGGCCUCAGAUAUAAUAAUAAAACUGGACCACCAUCUUGACCAUUUAUAUUUUCCUGUUAUCAUUCUAUCAAUAUUCAUUUUUAAAAUGUGCAUUUUAGAAACAUAAUUUAAUUUAUAGACCAUUAAUAUUCAUUUUGAAUUAGAGAUCAGAAAAGAUGUUUACUACCCCUUCACUACUUAUGUUAAAUAUUUUCUUCCACGUGCUUCCAUGUGCUUAUUUCAUGUGUUUCCAUAAUUUUCUCUAUACUUACCUUGUUUAGUGUCUCAUUCAAGCACUAGAAAAUUUAUAAAAUGAAGUAUUUUGAUUGUGAAAGCCCUGUAACAUGAAUGAAGACAUAGAGAAAACUGAAUUGAAAAAAUAUUCAAAGCAACUUUAGGAAAUGACGCUGCAUUUGGAAAUACAGUUUAGUAACGUAAUAAUCAUUGUCAUAGUCAUAUUUUGACUUUGGGAUACACUGACCUGAAGGAGAAGAAUUGGAUCAAAUCUAAGUUAAGAUCAAGUGGCCUUAAACGUCAACUUCCAGAUCCAAGUAGUGAUUAUCAAUAAGCAUAAUAUGAAUACAUUAGUAAAACAUAAAACUUUCACAGGUUUGCUGCCAAAUUUUAAACAAUAUCUAAAAGUCACUAUUCUUAACAACUGAGUAUCCAUACUGAAAUGGCAGUGUCUGCUAUAUAUAUGUGUAUAUACAUAUUCUUGAGUUAUCUAAUGCAGUAUAGAGUAGGAUUCUUUGGUCUCCUCCUUAAUUGAUAUGUUAUCUACUAAAAAGUCAAGGUAGAAUCCUCGCAUUAUUCUUAAUUUUUUAUCAGAUUUUGAAUAAUACUUCAAAUGGUGAUUAUCUUUGUGGAGGAGAGGAGAGAAAGGCAGGUGAAAGAAUAGGGAGGAACAUAAAGCUUUAUAUAUUAUAAUAAUAUUUUACAAUUGGCUGUGAGCUUAUAAGCAUUGAUUAUAUUAUCAAAUAAAUAAAUAAAUAUAAAAGAAAAUAGAGGUGUGUCACGUAAAGGAUACUGAUACUGAAUCAUGAUGAUGAAUUCACCUGUUGACCUAAUGUCCUAAAAUAAAAAAGAAUUAAGCCUAUGCUAAGGAAAGAGCAUACCUUUAUGCUUACCGCUAUGUGUUAGCAUCUUUGGCUUGGGAGUAUUAAUGACAGGACAGAAUAGCAAACAGUUACACUCUUUUUUUUUUUUUUUUUUUUUUUUGAGAUGGAGUCUCGCUCUGUCACCAAUCUGGAGUGCAGUGGCACAAUCUCACCUCACUGCAACCUCUGCCUCCCAGGUUCAAGCAAUUCUCCUGCCUCAGCAUCCUGAGUAGCUGGGACUACAGACAUGUGCCACCACAUCCAGCUAAUUUUUGUAUUUUAUUAGAGACGGGGUUUCACCAUGUUGGCCAGGAUGGUCUCGAUCUCUUGACCUCGUGAUCUGCCUGCCUCGGCCUCCCAAAGUGAUGGGAUUACAGGUGUGAGCGACCACGCCCAGCCAGCUAUACUUUUUUACACAGCAUGAAGAUCAACCCAGUGGAUAACUACUGAAUCUUUUAGAGAUACUACGAGAGUCUUAUAUAGGAGUGGUGAUUGUGUGUUAAUUAUAACUGAUGGUUUUAUGUGCUUUAGGAUGUUUUUAAUACUUUUAAGAUAUUCUGCCAAAAAUUCUGAUUUUUAAGCGUGUGCUCAAAUAGAAACAGUUGGGAAACUACUUGUCUGGAAAACAUUGAAAAGAAUGAAAUAUUUUAGCAAUAUUCUCCUUUAAAAUGCUUUAAUGAACUCCAGAGGAGUCCUUAUAAGAUCUGGGACAAAGGUAUAUUUUGCUGGAGUCUAUUAGCACAUUCCAGCCCAAAAUUCAGAAUGAAUCCAGAGAUGAUCCUCUACAGUUACUUAAGCUUCUCAAAGCUUUUUAAAAGCCUAACUUAAGAAGCCAUAUAGUUCAGUGAUUCUAAUGCUAGAUUGUCUGAAUUCAAACCCAAGUUUAGCCACUCACUAACUCUCUGGCCAGAGCAAGAUACCAACAUUCUCUCUGGUUUGGUUUCCUCCUCUGAAAAAGGGGGAUAAUCAAGAUACCUAUGAUAUAGAAUUACUGUGAGAUUUAAGUUAAUAUAAAGUUCUUAGAAUUUAAUGCCCCAGAUAUAGUAAGAACCCCGAGAUAUUAGCUAUUAUUACCCUUACAGAAAUUUCAUGGCCUACAGAGAUCUCCAAAAAAGGGGUUUCAAUUAUUUUAAUGUGGCAGAUAUUUAGAUGGGACUGGUUCACAAUACCUACUUAAGCCAUAGCAGACCCAAACCAAUUAUUCUAAUAUGUAUUAUAUUUUUUACUUAAUGACAUGAGUAGUUUUUUUGAAUUAUUUCUUAAAAGAAGUUCUUUAAACAUCUCUAAUUGUGAUUUUUACUCCUCAAUCCACAGAGGAAGAUAAAGUUUAAGAAUUUCUUCAAAGUUUUCAUCAUAAUAACCUCCUACAUUUUAAACAAAUAAGAAUGUGUCUGUACAUAAAAACAAAAAAUAAAAUCAUUCUGAUGUAUAAUCUGAUUGUUUUCAAAGAACAAUAAAUGUAUAUUAUUCCAUUUUAAUGACUGUAUAUUAAUCAAUUGGUAUUGUAUAUUUAUGUAACCAUUUAAUCCCAUAUUUUAGAUAUUUUAAAUAAUCUUUACCAUACUUCUUCUAUUGUUAAAAAACAUAUAAAUGUCUUAUUUUUCCAGAUGUCAGAAUAUUGUCCUGUAAUAUAGUUAUAAAAUAUCAGAAUGGCCUUUUAAAAUACAUAUUGCUAGGCAGGCCAUGGUGGUUCAUGCCUGUAAUCUCAGCACUUUGAGAGACUGAGGCGGGAGGAUCACUUGAGCCCAGGAGUUUGAGACCAGCCUGGGCAACAUGGUGAAACCCACUCUCUACAAAAAAUACAAAACAGCCAGGCAUGGUGGCACGCUCCUGCAGUCCCAGCUACUCAAGAGGCUGAGGCGAGAGUAUCAGUUGAGCCUUAGAGGUCAAGGCUACAGUGAGCCAUGAUCUUGACACUGCACUCAGCCUGGGUGACAGAGCAAGCCCCUGUCAAAAGACAGAAAAGAAAGAAAAAAAGGAAGGAAGGAAGGAAGGGGGGAAGGGGGGAAGGGAGGGAGGGAGGUUGCAACUUUGUCUUCCAAAUCAAUGGGAUUUUACAAGGUUGCAUUCAUACCUUGUUAUUACACUCCUCUCUUUCCUAUAUCUUAACAACAUGAUUUUUAAAUUCUGCCAAGCUUAUGGUCAAAGAUUAUAGAAAAGUGUUAAUUCUAUGUGGAUAUAUUUGACUAAAUAUGAACAUUUCUCACAUUUUCAAUUGUUUGUUGUUUUUAUAUUGUGUUCAUUUUUCUAUCAGGGCAUCUAUUUAUCUUAGUUCCUGGAAAGGAAAAAUGUGAAUAGUGAUAAUAUCUGAAAAGAAUAAUCAGGAAAUAAACUCAUAUAUAUAUAAAUUAAUGAUCACUGAAAUAUAACCUGAUACAUAUAUAUGUGUGUGUGUGUGUGUGUGUAUAUAUAUACACAUAUAUAUA